AACGAACGCUGGCGGCAUGCCUAACACAUGCAAGUCGAACGAGACCUUCGGGUCUAGUGGCGCACGGGUGCGUAACGCGUGGGAACCUGCCCUUAGGUUCGGAAUAACUCCCCGAAAGGGGUGCUAAUACCGGAUAAUGUCUUCGGACCAAAGAUUUAUCGCCUUUGGAUGGGCCCGCGUUGGAUUAGCUAGUUGGUAGGGUAAAAGCCUACCAAGGCGACGAUCCAUAGCUGGUCUGAGAGGAUGAUCAGCCACACUGGGGCUGAGACACGGCCCAGACUCCUACGGGAGGCAGCAGUGGGGAAUAUUGGACAAUGGGCGAAAGCCUGAUCCAGCAAUGCCGCGUGAGUGAUGAAGGCCUUAGGGUUGUAAAGCGCUUUUACCCGGGAUGAUAAUGACAGUACCGGGAGAAUAAGCUCCGGCUAACUCCGUG
rnacentral:rRNA from 1 species